rnacentral:lncRNA from 1 species
AGCUCACAGCAACAUUGGAUCCUUCUUGUUUAUAAAAAUUCUUACAAAAACCUUGGCUAUGUUUGGGCCAUCUGCCCAUACCCUGGCACUGGGAAUGGGGUUAGUUCCAUACAGUCCGGCCAUAUAGACUGAAGUAGAUGGUAUCAAAGGAAAAAUUAAGCUGUUUUCAAUAGAAUGGGUGUGUACAGACAGAUGCUGAGCAGGCAAAACCUACAGUUGUCCACAACUGGGGCUUAACCCAGUUGGAACCCCAAGAAUGGCUAUUUUGGAAAUGUAGAAUUUAAGAUGAGGCUUUAGAAAACCCUACCAAAUAUGAAAAUAUUUACCACUGUUUGGCACAAAGGUUCUUGGAGAUGCUAAGCUGCCGUUUAUUGCUUUACCCUUAUGUAACGGUAUUGACGUGUCCCCUAAAUUGGGACGUGGAAGAGGACGAGCCAUGAUAGCCUUGUCUCUACUUUUUGCCCUUACCUUGUAUCUAUCUACGAGUAAAGAAAGAAUAUCUUAUUCUUGUUAUAUUCCUAGCAUUUAGCCUGGUCUGUGGUAGGGAAUAAAUAAGUAUUUGAUAAUCAAAGAUAAACUGAUGCAGGAGUUCCCAUUGUGGCUUAGUAGAUUAAGGACCCAACAUUGCCUCUGUGAGGAUGUGGGUUCGAUCUCUGGCCUAGCUCAGUGGGUUAAGGAUCCAGUGUUGCCAUAAGUUGCAGUGUAGGUCACAGAUGCAGCUCAGAUCCUGCAUUGCCACGUCUGUGGCAUAGGCCAGAGCUGCAGCUCUGAUUCGACCCCUGGCCCAAGAACUUCCAUAUGCCUCAGGUGCAGCCAUGAAAAAAAGGGGUGGGGGGUAAACUGAUGAAUAAAGUAUAAUUUAUAAAAGUGUCUUUUGUUAUUAGAUCUUCUAAACCAUAUUCUUGCUAUCGGCUGUGUUGUCUUCUCACUUCAAUUACCAUUCUUUUUUCUGGUUUUCCUGGCUCUUCCAUCCCUUAACUUUGUAUCCUGGUUCUGAUAACCAAUUCAGGCAAUUCACAUUUUGAUGACUAAUUUUUUUUUUUUUCUUUUUAAGACCGUACCUGCAGCCUAUGGAAGUUCCUAGGCUAGGGGUUGAAUCAGAGCUGCAGUUGCAGGCCUACAUUGUAGCCAUGGCAACACCGGAUCUGAGCCACAGCUUGUGGCAACGAUGGACCCUUAACCCACGGAGCAAGGCCAGGGAUCAAACCCGCACCCUCAUGGAGACUAUGUUAGGUUCUUAACCCACUGAGCCACCAUGGGAACUCCUUGACUCUUUUCAACUCUGUGUUAGAUUCCUCAUUCUUCCAUAGAAGUUGAACCCUCAAUUUUUAUACAGCCAUAUUGCUGCUCUGUUUUAAAUGACAUUUUUCAGCCUCCCUUGUCGUAACAGAGUUCCGGAUGAUAGGGGGUAAGCAGAGGUUUGUGGUCCCUUCCAGGAAACUUCUGUGGUUUCUAGCCCUCCACAAAUGGCCCUUGGCAAUUCCCCUCAUAUGCAUGUCACUCUUCCCAUCGAGGGGUGGAGUGUGUCCACGACCACCCCUGCUUCAGGCUGGCCCUGCGACUGCUUUGAACAGUAGAAUGCACAAGAGGGACAUUUAGGGACUUCCAAGCUUAGGCCUUAAGAGAAUUGUAACUUUCAUUUUCUUCCUCUUGGGACACCCUUGCUUGGAAUGAUCCUUUUUGAAUGCGACUUCCAUGCUAUAAGGGAGCCCAAGCAGCUGUGAGGAAAAGUCCCCAUGAAGGAGAACUGAGGCUUCAGGCAGUGGCAGCUGUGAGCACCUAACUAAUAUUCAGUGCCAACCUGCCAGCCAUGUAGUUGAGGUCCCGUUGACCUGUCAUUUGUUCCAGAAUGCUGUCCAACACCAAGCAAAGCAGAAGAACUGUGCAGUCUACUCACAGAGUCAUGAUGUAUAAUAAAUUAUUGCUGUGUUAAGCCACUAGGUUUUGGGGUGGCUGGUUAUGCUUCCACAGAAAAACGAAAACACAUUCCUUAAAAUAUGGGUAUUUGCUCUUUGCCUCUUCUUUUUGCCGUUUUCCUUCGUGUAUACAGGAAUAUAUAUACAUGAUAAAAAGAGCUGAAGCCUUGUUAGACCAAGGCAAUCUUAGGGACGCCAGUCAUGCAAGAGAAAAUAACUUGAACUGUCUCUAUUUCAUAUAAGAAAUAUAGCUUCUAUCUUGAAUAAGCCACUGUUAUUUUGGGUCUCUAUGCAAGUUGAACCUAGUUCAAACUGUGUUGAUUCAUUGUCAGGCGUGAUUCAAAUGGUAACCUUUGCACAUCCCCUCAGUUUUGUCAGUUUGCUUGUUCUUCCGUUUAUUUUUAAAUUAAUUUCUGUUUUAUCAAAUAUACGUAUGUAUACAGUUUUAAAAUCCAUGUAUUUGGGGAGUUUCAGUUCCUGACAAGAUGAAGGAUCAUCUUAGCCUCACUAAUUCCUUCCUUCAAAUCCUACCUCAUAAAUGCCACAAAAGCCAGAAGGAAAUUAUGUGAAACUAACAUAACUACAUGAGAAAUCUCUGGUGUAACAGAGAUGCUUAGGUCUUAGCGUGAGGGAGAAGUGGAAGCCCAGCACCAAACAUCGGCUGAGCACCGUGUUGGGAUAGAGACGGGGCUGUCGAACUGCAGAGACCUUGAGACAUGCCUUUGGUUCUUUCACAUUAUCCCGAGCAGACUUUGCUCAUCUCAAUGCCACAGGGAAGCAGGAAAAACAACCGCCAGCCCUGUACUGUCAGGACGGCCACUGUAACACCAGAGCGGGCACCCAAGCCAAGAUGGGUGGUUAAAAACCAGUUAACAAUGGGUGCAGGUGGACUGGCCAGCUCCUCAGCCUUCCUUGCCUGCCCUGCUUUUGCCCUGGACCCCUCCUUCACAGACAACCUGAAAAAAGAGCAGAACUGAGAUGGAAGUCUAAACCAGAAAGUCCUGGUCAUUCUCUCUCUGCAACCCCUACGUCAAAUUUACCAGGAAAGACAGCAACGAGGGCUUAUGCUUUGGCUCUCUUUAUAAGCCCAGGCAUCUCGUACUUCUAGGAUAGGAUUUCUCAAUCUUGGCUCUUUUGAAAUACUGGGCAGAUAAAUUAAUAUUGUUAGAGGAUGUUCUGUACAUUAUAGGGUUUUAAGGCACAUCCCUGAUCUCUAUCCACCAGAAGUUAGCAGCAGUACUCUAAUACUGCCCCCUGCCCCCUGUCCAGACUGUAGCAACCCAAAAUAUCUCCAGAAAUUUCUAAGUGUUUCCCUUUGGCGCAAAAUCAGCCCUGGUUAAAACUUCUAUUCUAGGAGAAUGGGCAUAGGCCCCCUGCAUUGCAAUGUGAUAGCCUGGAAUAUGAACUCAUAGGAAAAAAUAAUUAGACUUGUUGGGAGAGCCACUGAGAUAAGAAAGCAAAUAACAAAUCAAGUAUAUUUUUUAAAAAAUGAAGUGUCUUAAAGAACUAAGAAAGGAUAUUGCUAUAAAGCCGAAGUGAUACAAGAGCCCUCAGCAGAAUUUCUGAGUAUGAAAAAAAAAUUUGAAAACAGAUAUUUAAUAGGUUGAUUUUUGAAUAUUAGAUGGAUUAUCAGAAUAAAUGUAGACUAAAUCAAGGAAGUGGAAGAUUAGUUGCAGAAAACAGCAGGAUGGGUUAUAUAGUUGAAAUAUAAAAAGAAAAAGUUAAGAGACAUGGAAAAUAGAAAUAUAAGCAUCAACAUUCAAAUAGUAUGAGUC